AUGCGAGGUUGUAAUGGAGUUGGUUGCCGGUGACAUUGAAUUGGGUGAGCUCGGCGCCGGUCACAUCGAACUUGAGCUUAUUGGGACGGAAUACGAGCCAUAAUAUCAACACUGCUAGACCAACCACGACGACUAUGGCAAUGAGGAGCUUGAGAAAGGUGGUGAAAAGGCAGCAGGCGCAGCCGCGGCCGUGGCCAUGGCGAUGGUAGGUCUUUGGCGGAGGAGGAACGGAAGGGCCGUAGUAGGCGCCGUUGAGGUGGGGUUGUUUGUCAG
rnacentral:misc_RNA from 1 species